AUCAAUGGUGACUGCGGAGGGACAUUACACAAAUAUGAAGGCGGGCUGGAAUCUCUCGGGGUUACAGCCUUGCUGAAUUAUUCACCCUUGUCUUUUGCGUACUUCUUGUUUCCUUGGUGGGUUCGCCCACCACUAGGACAAACAUAAACCUUUUGUAAUUGCAAUCAGCGUCAGUAACAAAUUAAUAAUUACAACUUUCAACAACGGAUCUCUUGGUUCUGGCAUCGAUGAAGAACGCAGCGAAAUGCGAUAAGUAGUGUGAAUUGCAGAAUUCAGUGAAUCAUCGAAUCUUUGAACGCACAUUGCGCCCUUUGGUAUUCCAAAGGGCAUGCCUGUUCGAGCGUCAUUUGUACCCUCAAGCUUUGCUUGGUGUUGGGCGUCUUGUCUCUAGCUUUGCUGGAGACUCGCCUUAAAGUAAUUGGCAGCCGGCCUACUGGUUUCGGAGCGCAGCACAAGUCGCACUCUCUAUCAGCAAAGGUCUAGCAUCCAUUAAGCCUUUUUUCAACUUUUGACCUCGGAUCAGGUAGGGAUACCCGCUGAACUUAAGCAUAUCAAUAAGCGGAGGAAAAGAAACCAACAGGGAUUGCCCUAGUAACGGCGAGUGAAGCGGCAACAGCUCAAAUUUGAAAUCUGGCUCUUUUAGAGUCCGAGUUGUAAUUUGCAGAGGGCGCUUUGGCUUUGGCAGCGGUCCAAGUUCCUUGGAACAGGACGUCACAGAGGGUGAGAAUCCCGUACGUGGUCGCUGGCUAUUGCCGUGUAAAGCCCCUUCGACGAGUCGAGUUGUUUGGGAAUGCAGCUCUAAAUGGGAGGUACAUUUCUUCUAAAGCUAAAUAUUGGCCAGAGACCGAUAGCGCACAAGUAGAGUGAUCGAAAGAUGAAAAGCACUUUGGAAAGAGAGUCAAACAGCACGUGAAAUUGUUGAAAGGGAAGCGCUUGCAGCCAGACUUGCUUACAGUUGCUCAUCCGGGUUUUUACCCGGUGCACUCUUCUGUAGGCAGGCCAGCAUCAGUUUGGGCGGUAGGAUAAAGGUCUCUGUCACGUACCUCCUUUCGGGGAGGCCUUAUAGGGGAGACGACAUACUACCAGCUCUGGACUGAGGUCCGCGCAUCUGCUAGGAUGCGGCAAGAACAAAAAAAAAAACAAAAGCCAAAAA
rnacentral:rRNA from 1 species